AUGGCUGUGAGCACCAACACAGAACACAGUGUAUUCCACAUGGAGACAGCACUGCUCUUCAUCCUCAUCAUGGCAGCAGAUGUAACUGCUGACCACAUCAAUCCCACACAGGAACAUUUUACCAAGGUUGAAGAUGAAGCUGUCAAACUGAAAUGCUCUUAUGGAACAGGCAGUAGCUCUGCAUAUCUUCUUUGGUACAGGCAGUAUCCUUACCAAGCACCGGUAUAUUUGUUACAGACACAAGGAAAAGGUGGUUCAUUUGCAGUCAUCCCUGACAAACGAUAUGAUUCCAAAGCCUCAGAAUCAUCCACUGAGCUCAAUAUUAAACGUCUGACUCUGGCAGACACAGGCCUCUACUACUGUGCUCUGCAGGUCGCCCAGUGA